rnacentral:telomerase_RNA from 1 species
GUUCCUAAAGGAAGUAGGAGCUAUGGAGACCAAUGGGGUAACCGUAACCGGCGUAAAUUGGUACGCAUCAACGAUAUCUACGGGUGUUACUUUUCCUCUUCGGUUCACCUCAAAAACCAUAAGAGGACGCCAUAGCUCUUAUUUUAAUUGUACUUUUCUCUAUAAAAACCUCAGUCCAUAAAAAGGUAAUCUUCAAUGAAAACCUGGGGGGAUUAUUUUU